GAAAAAAAGAGGCAAAGCAAAUUGUGGUUCGAGACCGUGUUCCCCUCGUCUUUACUCUUCACUGAUGUAGCCUGAUCCAACGUUUACUUCUGACCUUCUAGGUUCUUUGCUCAGCUUUCUUCCAGCAUUUUCACUUUCUGGAUGUGACCAGUUUCCCCACUGAAAUAAAUGAUACGCAGACCCCCACCCCCGGUCGCAGCAACAUCUCAAAACUUCAUCUGUGCAAUGGUACGAACAGGUGGUCGGUGUCACAUUUCAUUUGGAGGGCAUCACAUGCAAUAACAACUCUCCACAUUAGAAACAACCUUCCGGCCUGAAACAUUCAGUUGGUCUUGCUUACUUGAAGAAUUUUAAAAGUCCAAAGGAACAAGCAAUGAGGAGCAAAGAACGACAAAAGGUGAGGCUGAUGGAUUUUUCCCCGAAGAUCAAGGUCCACGUGCAGUGUGUUCAGAGGGACAAAGCAACGACAAGUCCCUACCAUGUGGGAGAACAAAAGGAGAAGAAAAGCAUGUAUGUGCUUCUUUCAGGUCAUUUAUAGAAGACUGGAUACAAGUCACCUCUUGCUUGUUUGACAAGGGAAUGGCACACCUUUCGCGGAAGUAAGCAGGAUAACGUGAAGAAAAAUAAGAGUCUGCAUUUAUAUCUCACAUCUUAAGUAAUCACAAGAAUUUAACCAAUUAGAAAGUACCAGUGAGCCAAAGGAUGAAAUAUUAAGAUGGCAUAGCAAAUGUUUGGUUGAAAAAGUAAUUUUUACCAGGUUGAAAAGAAAUAAAAAGUACGAUUCACUUCAAAUGAAGCAUAAAUUCUCUGUUGUCUCCAGAAGUAUAACAUUUUUUGUUUAAAAAUCUAUCCAUUUUGUACUUUAAAUGAUUCAAAAGUGGCAAAACAUACAAAAGUCAGAAUAUGCCUGUAAUGUCAGCAUCUUUUGGAAUCCAAUUUUUGUAAAA